rnacentral:tRNA from 1 species
GGAGAGUUGUCCGAGAGGCCUAAGGUGCGAAACUCGAAAUUUCGUGUUCCCCAGAAAGGAACCCAGGGUUCGAAUCCCUGACUCUCCG